rnacentral:tRNA from 1 species
UCUAUUUUAUUUAUAUAGUUUAAAUAAAACAUUACAUUUUCACUGUAAAAAUAAAAACUUCUUUUUU